rnacentral:lncRNA from 1 species
GAGGCAUGUGUGCCCCCAACCUGAUAUAUGUGUUAUUUCAGAUCGGGGCACCAGUAUACUAGCUGCAUUUGAUCGAAAGGAAGCUUAUGGCAGCGCACACACCAUAGAUAUUGCCUAAGACACGUUGCUUCGAACUACUACAGGCAAUAUCCAUCUAAGAACGAACAACGACAAGUGACCAACAUGGGUAUUUAGUCUAUAUCUGUGUUAUUUUGUUUGUCAAUUUGAAUUAGUUUUAUUGGUAGAAGUGGUAUGUAAUAUUCGCUAUGAACUUAUAUUGGCAGGGUAUGAAAUAAAUAAAGAUCGUUUUCACGAGAUGUUGGUAAUUUUACGUUCAAUUAACGGAGAAGGGGCGGACUACCUCUGUAACAUAUGUUUCGAACAGUGGGCACAAGUAUACGAUGGCGGCCUACGAUAUGGCCAUAUGACGUCGAACUUGGCUGAAUGCAUAAAUUCUGUUCUUAAAGGAACGCGCCAUCUACCGAUAACAUCGGUUGUGCGAUAGACAUAUUUUCAUUUGGCGGUGCUAUUUCCAAAGCGAACAGCAAGUUAUGCAGGCCAGAUGCAGGGAGGCCAUAUAUGGUGCAGUAAGGUAGUUCAAGAAAUUAACAAGGCCAAGGCGAGAGCAAACACCAUGCACACAGUGUGUCACGAUCGAGACAAUUUAUGGUUUCGCGUGACAGAGUUUGACAGACCACACCAAGGUGUUGUUGGCGGGCAACAUUGUGUACACUUACGAAAUAGGACUUGUGGCUGUAGGAUGUUUGAUGCACUUCGUUAUCCAUGCGCUAAUGUUAUUGCAGCUUGUCAGAAUCUCCGUCUAGAUCCGAUAAGUUAUGUGGACGAAGUGUACAAAUUAGAAAACAUGUACAGCGUUUGGAGACAAGUUUUCCUACCAGUCCCAGAUGAACGUAAAUGGCCACCCGUAUCUCUUGCUCCUUUUAAGUUGUUACCGGAUAGAGAAUUGCGUCGUAAACCAAAGGGUCGACCUUGCUCGACUAGAAUACGUAAUAAUAUAGAUAUUCAAGAAAUAGCCAGUCAACACAAGUUGUGCGGAUGGUGUAGGAAUCCAGGCCAUACAAGUCGAUCAUUCCCUAAUCGGAAUAGUAGAAUUUAAUUGUAAAUAAAUUAUAUUUUUUCAAUUACUUAUUGAUAAUUGUAUUAAUUGUUAGUAAAAUUAUCAAAUUAUAUCAAAUUAUUAAUUGUUAGUACCAGUCAAAACAUUUUUUCAAAUCUAACAUUAUGUGAAUGUAAAAAUAUUAAUUGAUAAUUGUAUUAAUGGUUAGUAGAAUCAUCAAAUUAUAUUUAACUUAAGGGUUAGGGUUUUAAAGUUAAGGUUUUAGGGUUUAGGGUUUUUAAGUUUAGGGUUUAUAGUUUUUAAGUUCAAGGUUUAAGUUUGGGGUUUUUAAAUUAAAAGUUAGAGUUUUGAGGUUUAAGGUUUGAGGUUUGAGGUUUUUUAAGUUUAGGGUUUAAUGUUUUUAAGUUUAAGGUUUGGGUUUUUUAAGUUUAGAGUUUAAGGUUUUUAAGUUUAAGGUUUAGGGUUUUGAGUUUAAAGUUUAAGAUUUUUUAGGUUUAGGGUUUGGGAUUUUUUAAGUUAAGGGUUAGUGUUUUUAAUUUAAGGGUUAUGGUUUUUAAGUUAAGGGUUAAGAUUAGGGUUAGAGUUUUAAAGUUAAGGUUUUAGGGUUUAAGGUUUUUAAGUUUAAGGUUUAAAGUUUUUGUGUUUUAUGGUUUAGGGUUUAGGGUUUAAAAGUUAAAGGUUAGUGUUUUUAGGUUUAUGGUUUAUGGUUUUUAAGUUAAGGGUUAAGGUUUUUAGGUUUAGGGUUAGGGUUAGGGAUUUUUAAGUUUUAGGUUUAGGGUUUUAUGUUUUAAAGUUUAGGGUUUAUAGUUUUUAGGUUUAAAGUUUAAGGUUUUUAAGUUAAGGGUUAGCAUUUUUAAGCUAAGGGUUAGGGUUUUUAAGUUAAGGGUUAGGAUUAGUGUUAAGGUUUUAAAGUUAAAGUUUUAGUGUUUAGGAUUUUUAAGUUUAGGGUUUAAGGUUUUAAUUUUGGGGUUUGGGUUUUUUAAAUUAAGUAUUAAGGGUUUUAGGUUUAGAGUUUGGGGUUUUUAGUUAAAGGUUAGAGUUUUUAAGUUUAGGGUUAAAUGUUUUUAAGUUUAGGUUUAGAGUUUUUAGGUUUAAGGUGGGGUUUUUAGGUUUAGGGUUUGAGGUUUUUAAGUUAAAGGUUAUGGUUUUUUAAUUUAAGGGUUAGGAUUAGGGUUAAGGUUUUAAAAUUAAAGUUUUAAGGUUUGAGGUUUGGGGUUUUAAGUUAAAGGUUAGAUGUUUUAGGUUUAAGGUUUGAGGUUUUUAAGUUUAAGGUUAUGAGGUUUUUAAGUUUAGGAUUUUAAAGUUAAGGUUUUAUGGGUUAAUAUUUUUAAGUUUAGGGUUUAUGGUUUUUAAGUUUAAAAUUUAGGGUUUUAAGUUAAAGGUUAGGAUUUAGGGUUUUAAGUAAUAACUUAAAAAAAAUUCUAUUUUAUUACAUCAAAUAAUAUUAAAAUAUUCAAAAUAUUUGUACAAAUAAAUUUAAAUACAAAAAUCAAUCUCCGUGCCCGCCGGAUUUAGUGCCAUAUGGCGGCCCUCGACGGUUACGCGCUGGAUUCCUCUUUUGUCCAACUUCCAGCGGGGAUUCUGGUUCUUCCGGUAAGGCAUCUGGUUGUCGGAGUUGGGACGAUGAUCCACCUUGAAAGAAUAGUGAAUAUGGAGGUGUUUGCAUCACCAACGGCGACGGUGUUUGAAACCCAUACGGUGGCCCCUCUUGCGAUCCCUCGUGUGCCGCUUGCCUAUACAUCGGCGGUCCACUCGGCGUAACAGGAAAUGGAGCUGAACCGGGCCAUUGGCUCCAACCUGCUAUAGGACUCAAAAAAAAGAUACAUAUAAGGGUUAGGAUACAAAAAAGGGUUAGGAAACGCACCUGGCAUCAUCUGAAAAGGCGGUUCUGUGGGUAUAAUCGGUUAAACUGCUGGGUCGGGUGGCUGUGUCGGUGCUCUCGUUGGGCCUGAUGAUUGCAUGGCCGCUGAUGAUGGGCCGGGUGAAUGUCUGGGACUCGUUGAGGAGCCAGCGUCGUCGUCUCCUCGUCUUGGAUUAGAGGCCCUCGUCUUUCCCUUUAGACACGUAUUUGCCACUGCCUCUCCUCUGGCGUCAGUAAAUACGGCUUGCCAUGGAUCCUAAAUCAUGGCAUGUAUUCCGGCACGCAUGCUAACUCCGGAAUGAUAAUUGGUUCCCGAGUAGAUAUAUAUUCAUAUCGAUCUUUCCAUAUUUCCAUGUACUCGGACCAAUUUCUCGGUCAAUCCGUAUUCAAUUGCCGAAGGUUGACUUUGUGUUGAUCGUCAAACACCUCAGGUUCCACAGGAAUCAGUUGUCUACAUCCAAAUUGUCGUAGCACUUUGUCUGACUUGUGUGGCUCCACGGUCGUACAGUUGAUCAACGCGACUUUCACGUACCAAGCGUUUCGAUUUUGUAAGAACUCAUCCGGAAUUACUGCCCGAAUUGUCGGAUCCUCGUAUGAUGUCCAUUGAAACUAUAUGAACAUUAUAGAAAUAUUAGUAUAUAUAUAAUACUAAAUACUAAUUACUAAUUACCAAUCGACUAGCGAAUGAUGGAAAUAUCAAUUUUAUUUAAUACUUACAUGUGCUUCCGGCUGUUGGUCUAAUAGAAGCCGUAUAUCUUCAAGUUCGGUAGGUAAUCAAGCAUGACUUGCUGAAUGGUUCCACCUAAUUAAAUAAACUUUUAGCAUACUUUUAUUUUUAAAUAUCUAUAUAAUAAUUGUAAAAUCUAAUAUAAAAUUUACCUCAUUAUGAGUGGAAAUUUAUAUGGGUGGUCCACUCGAAGACGUAGAAAUGGACAGCGAAACCGUGCCUAUGACUGCAGUAGUGACAAGCAACCUCCGAUUUUUGCUCUCAUCGGUCGCAUCUCCCCACACAUCUCUCGAUAUAAUGUGGCCAAGACGGCAGACCCCCAACUCAAUUCACCAGCUGCUCUAAAAUCAACGAGUUUCAACAGCAAUCUUAGAUGUACGCAGCUCCGUGACAAGUCCGGCAUCAGAUAACCUCUAAUUAACUAAAAAAUGUAUGCCCGAGCAUAUCAGAUUCUUUCUAUAUCGGUUGAAUCUUAAUCCGGAUCCGAGAAUGUGUCUUGCAACCAGCCCAUCUCGAUCUUACCUCCGUCCAUUUUCUCCGGAAUAGCGCCCAGAAGCUCAUAGCACACCGCUGGCCAAUCGCUAGAUUGGGCAGACCCCGUGACUAGGUACCCGUCCACCGGCAAUCCCAAUUACAGGCUGACGUCUUCCAAAGUGACAGUGCACCCUCCACAUGAAAAAUGAAAUGUGUGCGUCUCGGGUCUCCACCUCUCGAUCAACGCACUGGUUAGUUUCGGGUCCACCUUGCAUCCCCAGCCUACUGUUGCCACGUGCUAAAAACCCGCUUCCCGCAGGUAGUUCUCUACCAACGGUGAUGGAGGAGCAUGCAUAUUCCGGAUAUUGCAUUCCAAUACCUGAUCUACAGACUUUUAUAACAAAUAAUAAAUUAAUAAUUAUCUAAAAAUACAUAAAUAAAAAAAUUUAAAUAAUAUUUAAAAAUUAAAUUUAACACUUACCAUCUUCAUUUGUUCCACGGAUAUGUAGUGCUUAUCAAGACGAGUCAAUCCUUCGUCCAUUACUGAAAUCGUACAAAUUUUUUUGGUUUAAAAAUUAAGGAUUUAAGAGUAAUUUUUUUCAGUUUAAGAAAAAUUAAAAUUAUUUAAAAAUAUAGGAAUUUAAGAGAAAUUUAAAAGGAAAUUGAGAGUUAAUUGAGAUUAAAUAUGAAUUUGAGAGAAAUCAGGAAGGAAAUUGAGAGGAAAUUGAGAGAAAAUUUGAGAGAAGAUUUGUUUAUGAAAAAAAAAAUGGGUGAGGGGUAUUUAUAAGUUUUUUUUUACCGUUGGAGGGGACAACGAUCAAAUUUUUGACUGUUACACUGUUCACGCGCGGUCUAAAUCGUGUCCCAAGGACGCGUCACGUCAUCAAAGCGCGGCCACGUCAGAACACUUUGCUGACGUGAUAGCAAAUCGCGCUCUCAAGGCCGCGCUUUGUUGCACGUCAUCAAAACGCUCUGACAUUACCGCGCUUUGCUGACACGACCGCGCUUUGCUGACACAUCCCCUAACAUCGCACUGACGUAGACGUAAUUUAGGGAAAAGAGACUCAUUCUGAUAAAUAAUAAAAUACCGAGCCCAUUUCAGUAAAUUUAAAAAAAAUUAGCUUUUUUUGAUAAAUAGACCUCGGUAAACAAUAAUAUCCAUCAAAAUUAUGGCAACAUCCGCUGCUGCAACAAGCUUUAAGAAGAACUCAGAAUUGACCGAGAUAGCUACUAUAAGGAUUAAAAUCCGGCUCAUAUAUUCUCAUUACCAUUCACGUGACUACAUAAAUUGUAAAGUCAUACUUGUGAAUAAAGAUUGAUCAAAGUAAUGGAAGAAAACCAGACCCAAAUAUAAAGUGCAUAGAAUCCAUGCUGUCCAACAAGAUGAUAAAUAUAUAUUUCAAAACAACCCUACGUACAGAAGAUCUCGUCUUUUCUCUCUCUCUCUCUCUCUUCUUUGGCCUAAGCCCUUGGAUAAGUAGAUUUACUUACAAUAUCAACAUUGAAAUCCCCUUCAAUGAGCAGUAUGGGGAAUAGUGUUGAGUGUCCGAUGAGCUUGGACCGCACAAGCACAAUGCACUGAUGUUAAGCUCAAGCAGCCACUCAUGACAAGGGUAUGCCUUCCGGAGCAAGUGUGAAGGGCUGGAAACGUAUCGCAUAAUGUCUGUACGGCUGAAGGAGUCAGUGCAGUACACUGGCUUAUAUUCAGACUUCUAAGACCUUCCUCAUCAUAUCUACCCUUCAUGGACUGCCACAACGAAGGCUUGUUAUUCACUCGGCUGUGAGCCAGCGAGUACAUCGCCCUGUCUGUGAUAUUGCGACAAUAGUACAGAUCAAGUGACCUUAAAUGGAGGCACUUAUCUGCCAACGCAAUCACACUAUCAUCUACAAUAAGAUUUUUAGAGCUUAUCAGUCUUCAUCGACAAAACAAGCCAUACUUUAGUUCCUAAAUCAACAAAUAAUGUUUCAAUCUGAUACUGCUGUGACGGGAAGACAGACAAAAUCACCUCUAGGAAAAGCGAAGGGCAAGACAAAUUCAACUCGAUAAAAAGUAUGAAUAAUUUUAAAAUUGAGUUUAUAUGCUAGCAUUGGGACAAGGUGCUGCAUAUUCACUAUAUUAGACUGCUGCUACCCUCGCCAACACAUAGAAGGCUAUUCCCUGAAGAAACAUGCAAGGUAAAGAUACAUAUCUAUAUAAUACAAAAUAGAUAUAAAUCUGGCUAGAGAAUCAGAAACCAAAGCAAUAUGUUGAAUUAUAAACACACACACAUAUACAUAUACAUAUACAUAUACAUAUACAUAUACAUAUACAUAUACAUAUACAUAUACAUAUACAUAUACAUAUACAUAUACAUAUACCAACUAAGCACCGAAUCCAAGGAAUACCUGUUAUGCGAACACAGCCGCACAAGUCCAGGCAUUUGAGAUCAGGGCAUCCGUAAGCUAGACUCAUCACUCCUAUAUCACCAACAUUAUCACACCAUCCCAGAUUUAAAGAUUGCAACAUUUUGCAGUUUCGUCCAAUAGCCUGUGCAUAUAAUCAAUUAAAGCAACUCGUUUUUAAUCAGCAAAAAUAACUAUUCAGAGUACUGUUCGUACCUGCAAUGCACGGUCAGUUGCAGCUUUAACACAUCCACAGAGAUUUAAUAUUUUUAGUUUUUGACAAAAGUUAGUCAAAUAUUCAAGAGCUCCAUCACUGAAAGAUGUGCAGCCACUGAUAUUAAGCUUCGUAAUGUUAGGACAACCACGGGCCAAUGCAUACAAAGAGUGAUCACUAAGCUUGAAACUUUUGCUUAGGUCCAGCUCCUGUAUAUCAUGACAAAAGUUUGCAAUAGCCUCAACAGCAUUGUCCUCGAGCUGCGGAUACUCUUGACGCAGUAUUAGAGUUUGCAAUCUGGUGAAUUUAGGAGCAAGAGAGAGAACCAAGUUGUUCAUAUUCUUUCUGCACCUGAUGCAAGAUUUCACACAAACCAAUUAUAUGACAAGUAGGAUAUUGAGGAAAAAAGGUACAAAGGACAAAUGAUCUGAUGUUUGCCCAAAUACGAGCAAAGAAUAAAUUAAAAGAUAAAAUAAGGAAAUGGAUCGCACGUCACUCAUUGCUAAAACAGUAUUAAUUGGGCAAAAAAAUUAAUAUUUAACAAGUUACAUACAGGAGAGAAAACAAGAAGUAAAUGCAUGACAAACACAAAAAAAUGCAAAUGCAGCUAAGAAGAAUAUGAAAAACUUUUGUGGCCAACAAGCUAGAAUUAAGAUAUCCGAAGAUCCUCCUUCUAAACCAAGCCUAACAGUAUUAAGAUUAUAUGUUUUUCAUGUUAUGUAAUAACUAUCAGGUGGAGCACGAAAACUGUCAUAACCAUGAUUAACGGUAAAUUAGGACAAUUGAUCAACCCAAGCUGGAGUUAGGUUUCUGCUCAUGGAUCACAUAAGUUUAUGCUAUCCAUUCAGAAACAGAGAUGUUAGGCAUUACAAGUUCGGAGUACUGAUAAAAUCAACCAGACACUAUCUUCAAUAUUAAUAAAAACAUGGGAUGACCAAUAUAUUAUUAAUAAUCUUAUAUCCCUAAUGAAGCUUCCUUAAAAUUAAAAAAAGCCAAGACAAAUAAAUAACUAAACUGCCAAAAGGUAAGAUACUUCACGCUAUGAAUGCUAAAAUUGACCAGGAUAUACCACUCGGGAGGUGCCAGCAAUCCAAAUCGUGCAAGUUUGCUGGCUUAUCAUAAUUCAAACACAAAGUGAGCAGUGCAAAUAGAAAAGGCAUGAAUCAGAAGCAAACUGAAAAUGGAAAUUUAUGAGAUUAACUAAACAAAUUCUUGAGGAGGAAGACUGAAAAGCCUUAAAGGCACUUAAAAAUAGAGACUGAUGCAACAGUUGGUUCAUUUUGAUAACUAGCACUGUGAAUCAAUCCAGUAUAUUGAGUACUUUGGGAGAAUGGUUUAGGCUCUUGUUGCCUAUCAGUCUGAGAAACUAGCAAUAAGAAAAUUCACAAUUCCUCAAGUUGGGGUUGAUGUAUAUGAACAGUAUCUAGAAUUGAUAUUAUGCAAAGAGAGCAACAAUAUUGUCACCAUGGACAUAGCAUUAAGAAAAAGGUCUGGAUUAAAGCCUUGCUAUCUGAUGAGUAUAGGCUGAAAUUUGAUCAAAACUACUAAAAGGUUUUUACCUUAGAGCUAGAAAUAAACAAUCAUGGAACAGAAAAUCAGCUUUAUGUUAAUUCAAAGAUCUAGUUUUCACAAACAACAAAAACCUAUUUAUUAUCUAAGUCUUACCCCCAAAACUGUUUUACAGGAAAAAUAAUGUGUUUGCUUGUGCCAGUACUCGUCAGUUACAUCAAAAGGAGAUACUAUUACUUAGUAGUUCUAAUCUUAUAACUAUUUGAGAUAUAAUAGCUAACCUGCACAAAAAGCAUAACAUAAACAUCAAACAAUGGUUGAAAUGGGGAAAAAAAGGAAAAAUAAAAGCACAACUGCACAAGUGUUGGUACGUUUAUAUAAGAGUAAACAGUGAAAAGAGCACAUACCAUGAGAGACUGAGUUGUGUGAGGCCGAAGCAAAUAGCAUCCCUCCACCCACAACAAACACCGGAAGCAACAAUAGCAGUCCGAUCAUCGACAAGAGGCACAAUUCUCAACAGCAGCUCCAUAGGAAUAUCUUUCCACUCAGUGAUCACCGCUCCCUCCAUCCUAACUCCCACGCCACUAUUUCCAGCAGCAACCAUCAGCAGCUUCUCAAAGCACGAGUUCAACUCUUCACUUCUCACCUUUGCUUUGCUUAUCAUUUAGCUCUUUUCUCUACCACCAUCUUACACAAACUUAUAUUUUUAUGUUAUGGAGUAGAUAAUUAUUCCUUUAUGCCUAUAACCAAAAAACAGACCUUAAAUUCAGUGACCAAAGCCUAAUAAAACGACAAGUGUAUAGAAAGGCAACAAACUCUAUGUGCCAAAACCUUAGAAAAACUGCAGAAAACAGAGGACCAUAAAAACAAUCAAAUUCCUAAAAAAAAAAAUUCUUUUUGGAUAUUCUAAGUACCUUGGACCAAACUAAAAAAUUUACCUUCCUUUUAGCUUUAACUCGUCAAGGGACAUACCAAAACAGGUAGUUCAUAAGAAAAACAAAAGCAAACCUUUUUGGGGUAUAAGAAAGACCCAUUUCAACAAACUGGAUAUUAGAGUGAUAGCCAUAAAAAGAAGUACAGAAAUGAUCGGCGAAAACGAAAAAGGAAACUAAAACCAUGACUUUUAUUUGACUAAAUAUUUGUAGCUAAAAGUAACAACUUUAUAUAAGUUCAGAAAUUUGUGGUUUUUCAACUAAAAGAUUUAAAAAUGAAUCAGCUUGAAAACAUGCAGCUCAAAUUUAAGCAACAAAAAGAAAUGGAUGAAACAAAAAUUAAAACGACAGAUAACUCCCAACAGAAAACAAAAGAAGGGAUGAAAAUUAUGGAAAGCUCAGAUUAUAAUCAUACCUUUCUCUGGGUUUUCUUCGUUUUCUUUGCUUUGUUCUAUUAAAAAUUCGUUUGGGUGUUUUUCUGUGUUCUUAGAAAGAAAAACAGAGAAGCAAGUAAAGACAAAAGGGGGGGGUUAUUAAGACAUAAAAGAGAGAUUAAAAAAAAAAGAGAGACGUACGGGAAGAGAAUUAGGGGAUACGUGUCAGAAAUCCAUCCGUGACAACGUAAUAGGACCAAUAGAUUUUCAUGAUUAAGGAAUCAUAACAAAAGCUCUCCUUUUUCUUUUUCUGGGGAAAAAGAGAGAAAAGAAAUCAGAUUAUUUUUGUUUCCAAAAAAAAUGGAUAAAUAAAAAAGAGGGAUUGAGGUGAAUGUAGAAAGUUCGGUGUGUUUUGUUUAAAACAGAAGCCGCACUGGAAAGCAAUAUAAAAGAAUAAAGAUGCCACUUUCUUAAAAUUCGGGUGGAUGUCGCAUUAAAUCAAGGCGGGAAAUAAAAAGAAAUCAAAGCUCAUUAUAGAAUUAAAUAAACAUUUUUGGUAGUUUAGAUUUGUUUGGCUGGUGAGUAUUACUUGCCCAAAAUUAUUAACCUUAAAAAUCUUUUGUAUUAUUAUUAAUCAGUCAGAUUAACCGGGGAGGAAGAUGGUGGUUUGUUUGGAAGAUGAACAUAGUAGUGCAUGAGGGGACCGUAUAAUUUUUUUAUAUCUUCAUAUCAAUUUUAUAUUUUUUAAUUUUUUUAUUUUUAUGAAAAUAAUAUUAGAUUAAACUAAAAGAUAUCACGUGUCACAAUCUUAUUAGUCCGUCAAUUUAUUUUAACGAUCAACAUGAUCAACAAAGAAAAUCGUUAACAGAAGAGCUUAAUUAAUUAUUUUAGUUAAUGAUAAAGGCUUAAUGGAGUGCAAUUUUAAUACAAGGGUUUUAUUGAUUUUUUUUAUUUUUUAAAAUUUUUUAAUAUAAAAUCCUCAUGGUUCAAUCACUAGACAUUUGAGUUUUUUAAGUGAUAAUUUUUUAUUAUUUUGUUUAAGGUUUAAACUUUGAUACUUGAGUUUUUUUUCUCUAACAUAGUAUAUGUGUUUUUUUAACAUUGAUAAAAGUUAUAUAUUUUAAUAUGUUAAUUUUUUAGUGCUCAGUUUAAAUUUUAGAAUUAAUUUAUUAAAAACCCAUAAUUUUAAAAAUAUUAUUAUUGACAAUUAAUUUUUAUUAAAUCAACCCUAAACUUGAAAUUUUGUUAUUUUUUCAGGUUUUAAAGUUUAUGAUAUAAAAUUAAUUAUUAAUAUUAUUAAUUAAGUAUGAUUUUCCAUUAAAUAACCCUACCGCCAAAAUUAAACAAUAAAGUAUUAAUGUCAUUACAUUUAGAUAUCAAAAUAAAGGGUGAAGCAGGAUCUAAUAAAAGCCCCUGAAUCCUCUUUGGUCAACUGGAAUGCAGAUUAGUGAAUUUGGAUGCAACUGUAUCCUCAUCUUUUAUUUAUUACUAAUAAAACAUAUUAAAAAGAGACCAACGUAAGAAGAAGAAAAUAUGAAUACUAGCUUAACUUAAUUAUAAGAAAAUAAUUUCUAAUUUUACAUGACCAGGAAUGGAUUCAGGGGAGGCGGGGUCGUUGUUCCCUUUAAAUUUUCACUUUUUUUUAGUUUUAUAUAUAAAUUAUUAUGUAUUUUAGAUUUGGUGUCCACAUUGUAUAACUUUCGCCCCUCUACUCAAAUUGUAUUUCAUAUAAUUUGCUUCCUCUUCAACUGUAUUUCAUUUAAGUCAAGUAUUUAUCAUCUUAUUGAUAGAAUUAUUCUUUUUGUGCUAACUCUUCUUGUGUCUAUAGUAACAACUAAACAAGAAUUUUUAGCCAUGAAAAUUGUGAAGACAAUAUCUUACAGUAGAAUAGAUGAUAAUUUUCUUUCAACUUACUUGGUGGCAUAUAUAAAAAAAAAAGAUAACUUGAGAAUUUUUAACAAAUUCUAUUAUUGAUGAGUUCAAUCUUAUGAAAAAAUAAAUUGUGCAAUUUAGGAUGACUAGUAUUGAAAAAUAAAACUAAAGCCAAGUGUUUUUAAUUUAAUUUUUGAAAUUAUAAUAUUUAUGAUAUUUAUGAUAGUUUUUUUUUUGGCAUAUUAAAAAUAAAUAUUUAAUUUUAUAUGGUGUUUUAAAGUUAAAACGUUAAUUUCUUUUAAAAAUUAUUAAAUUAAUUUAUUUGAUAAAAAUAUCUGAAAAAAAUUAAUAUAUUUUUAUGUUAAAAAAUCGUUCAUUGAUACGUACCUGCGUUAAAUGAGAUAUAGAUGUGGAGAAAAGUAAAUGCAUUCUGGAACUUUCUUUUCUAUCACUUUCUCAGUUUUAUUUGUUUGUAUAUCGUAUAAAUGCCAUUGCCAUGUAAUCUUCCACCAAAAUAAUAAAAAGUUCGUAUUUUGUUUUCUCUAAAGCUGAUCAACUAUUUUUAUUUACCUCUGCCUCCCCUACCAUCACUGCUUUUGUCCCUUGAAUUGGACGCUAAAACUUGUCUAGGUUCAUUAUCCUGGUCGAUAGAGUGGCUUUUAGAGAGAUAGAGGAACUUGAUUGUGCACUUUCACAUCACGAGAUUCCCAUUCUAGUUUUUCAAGUAAGGGUUUUUGAAAGACGUGACGGCAUUGUCAACUUUUAACCUGCGAUUGGAAGAUGUAGUAGAGGAUUUGAUAAUGAGAUUUUAUGUCAAGAUGAGACGUUGGAUAUCCAUUUCGUAAAACAUUGGGUCUUUUAUUUGGUGUCAAUAGAGGAGUCCCCAUGCUGUGAAAUAUAAUCAAACAUGUAAAGAAAUUACAGAGAAUUAUUUGAUGCGGGUCGGGUGAUACAAAGCUUUUUUUUUUUUUUUGUAAAUUAGACUAAUAUUAUUAACACACGGCUCAAGACAAAACAGCAGCUGAAAAGCCAGCAAACACAAUAGAAAAGGAAAACAGCUGGCAAGCAAACAGAACAAUCAAAGCCUAGAAGACAGAACAAUCAAAGCCUAGAAACUACCAAUUCCAAAAGAGCAGAAAAAGAAACUCUUGAGCCAACAACCAGCUUUGCUUCAAUAAACCCAAUAUCAGCCAAUACUUUCCUCACCGUCUGAAACCUGAAACGAGUAUAAUGAGAGAACAAAUACUUUGAACGAACCUCCACCAUUUUCAAAGCAAAAAUGAAAUGACCUUAGAUCCGCUGGUUCCAAACCAAACGGUCAUUCAAUGCCGCCAUCCUCACAGAUUCAGGCACUCCAUUAACUCAACUCCCGCAAAUCUUUCUUCUUCGGCCUUCCAGCACCAGGUUGUGAGACGCUUCAUUAACCAAUNNNNN